UACGUAGGGGGCUAGCGUUGUCCGGAAUCAUUGGGCGUAAAGAGCGUGUAGGCGGUCCGGUAAGUCCGCUGUGAAAGUCGGGGGCUCAACCCUCGAGUGCCGGUGGAUACUGGCGGACUAGAGGACGGUAGAGGCGUGUGGAAUUCCGGGUGUAGUGGUGAAAUGCGUAGAGAUCCGGAGGAACACCAGUGGCGAAGGCGACACGCUGGGCCGUACCUGACACUGAUACGCGACAGCAUGGGGGAGCGAACGGG
rnacentral:rRNA from 1 species